rnacentral:lncRNA from 1 species
UGUCUGUAGCAGUGACAUUGUGAAUCACAUAAUAUAUUGAGGUAAUAUUUUUCUAGUUUUUGAAAACGAUUACCUGAUUCAGCAAAAAAGUGGCUCAUAUGGAAAAAAACCAGUGAAGUUCCAAAAUGCGUCUUUGUUGUUUCACUUUUAUCUUAUUAUUGUAGAUGUAAUCAUUAACCAACAUUCGCAUCAGAUUCACAAUUGGAAACCCAGCUGUUAAACAUUUACCAGCACACUACUGGAAAGAAGUGCAUAUGGACUACUCGCUUGGGAUUCCAGAAGAAAGAACGUUAUAGAACACCUACAACUUGGCAAUCAGGGGCCUGAGGUACAGCUGAAGUACAGCUGUGGAAGAGGAGAUGCUAAUUCCUGGAGAGAGAGCAACACAGAUUUUACAGUCAGCAGCCAGAGACUACCCUCAGAACAGGAAUAUGAAAAAUAAUGGAUACUGAUGGGGUCCUCUGAACUUGUUCCCCGGGGUGAGCCUGAUUUAGGCUCAAGAAGUCCCCAUUCUGCUUGAUAUUUUAAAUGGCAUGGGUACCCAAAACAGCAUGGUAUAUGGGAAGAUAGACCUGGAAUAGGGGACAGUAGACUUGAUUUGAGGUUCCAGAAAUCAUUUUCCAGCUUUAAUUUUGAGCCUCAGUUUCCUCAUCUGU